CGUAGGUGGCAAGCGUUGUCCGGAUUUAUGGGUUUAAAGGGUGCGUAGGCGGCCCUGUAAGUCAGUGCUGAAAUAUCCCGGCUUAACCGGGAGGGUGGCAUUGAUACUGCAGGGCUUGAGUAAAGUUGAGGUUGGCGGAAUUGACGGUGUAGCGGUGAAAUGCUUAGAUAUCGUCAAGAACACCGAUAGUGAAGACAGCUAACUAAGCUUUAACUGACGCUGAGGCACGAAAGUGUGGGGAUCAAACAGGAUUAGAUACCCUGGUAGUCCACACUGUAAACGUUGAUUACUCGAUGUUGGCGAUACACAGUCAGCGUCUUAGCGCAAGCGAUAAGUAAUCCACCUGGGGAGUACGCCGGCAACGGUG
rnacentral:rRNA from 1 species